rnacentral:rRNA from 1 species
CGGUCCCUAUCCGUCGUGGGCGUAGGAAAUUUGAGAGGAGCUGUCCUUAGUACGAGAGGACCGGGAUGGACAUACCUCUGGUGUACCAGUUGUCGUGCCAACGGCAUAGCUGGGUAGCUAUGUGUGGACGGGAUAAGUGCUGAAAGCAUCUAAGCAUGAAGCCCCCCUCAAGAUGAGAUUUCCCAACUUCGGUUAUAAGAUCCCUCAAAGAUGAUGAGGUUAAUAGGUUCGAGGUGGAAGCAUGGUGACAUGUGGAGCUGACGAAUACUAAUCGAUCGAAGACUUAAUCAAAA